rnacentral:rRNA from 1 species
GAUGAACGCUGGCGGCGUGCCUAAUACAUGCAAGUCGAGCGAACAGACGAGAGUGCUUGCACUCUCUGACGUUAGCGGCGGACGGGUGAGUAACACGUGGGUAACCUACCUAUAAGACUGGGAUAACUUCGGGAAACCGGAGCUAAUACCGGAUAAUAUUUAGCUUCGCAUGAAGCAAUAGUGAAAGACGGUUCUGCUGUCACUUAUAGAUGGACCCGCGGUGUAUUAGCUAGUUGGUGAGGUAACGGCUCACCAAGGCAACGAUACAUAGCCGACCUGAGAGGGUGAUCGGCCACACUGGGACUGAGAAACGGCCCAGACUCCUACGGGAGGCAGCAGUAGGGAAUCUUCCGCAAUGGACGGAAGUCUGACGGAGCAAUGCCGCGUGAGUGAAGAAGGUUUUCGGAUCGUAAAACUCUGUUGUAAGGGAAGAACAAGUACGUUAGUAACUGAACGUACCUUGACGGUACCUUACCAGAAAGCCACGGCUAACUACGUG